ACAAUGAAGAGUUUGAUCCUGGCUCAGGAUGAACGCUAGCUACAGGCUUAACACAUGCAAGUCGAGGGGCAUCAUGCUUAUAGCAAUAUAAGUGAUGGCGACCGGCGCACGGGUGAGUAACACGUAUCCAACCUGCCGAUAACUCGGGGAUAGCCUUUCGAAAGAAAGAUUAAUACCCGAUGGUAUAAUAAAGCCGCAUGGUUUAAUUAUUAAAGAAUUUCGGUUAUCGAUGGGGAUGCGUUCCAUUAGGCAGUUGGUGAGGUAACGGCUCACCAAACCUUCGAUGGAUAGGGGUUCUGAGAGGAAGGUCCCCCACAUUGGAACUGAGACACGGUCCAAACUCCUACGGGAGGCAGCAGUGAGGAAUAUUGGUCAAUGGACGGGAGUCUGAACCAGCCAAGUAGCGUGAAGGAUGACUGCCCUAUGGGUUGUAAACUUCUUUUAUAUGGGAAUAAAGUGAUCCACGUGUGGAUUUUUGUAUGUACCAUAUGAAUAAGGAUCGGCUAACUCCGUGCCAGCAGCCGCGGUAAUACGGAGGAUCCGAGCGUUAUCCGGAUUUAUUGGGUUUAAAGGGAGCGUAGGUGGAC
rnacentral:rRNA from 1 species